rnacentral:lncRNA from 10 species
UGAAAUUCCUUCUCCUGGUUCAUCCUGGCUCAAAAGCUCCCCUACUGAGCGCCUUUUGACCCCCACACCUGCUCCCCCUUUGACUGUAAUUUUCCUUUACCUACCCAAAUCUUAUAAGACGGCCCUAUCCCUGUCUCCCUUGGCUGACUCUCUUUUCGGACUCAGCCCGCCUGCACCCAGGUGAAAUAAACAGCCUUGUUGCUCACACAAAGCCUGUUUGGUGGUCUCUUCACACAAACGCGCAUGAAAUUUGGUGCCAUGACUCGGAUCGGGGUACCUCCCUUGGGAGAUCAAUCCCCAGUCCUCCUGCUCUUUGCUCCGUGAGAAAGAUCUACCUAGGACCUCAGGUCCUCAGACUGACCAGCCCAAGGAACAUCUCACCAAUUUCAAAUCUGGACCCCACUGAAAAUCGGACUGUUCAACUCAUCUGGCAGCCACUCCCAGAGCCCCUGGAACUCUGGCCCAAGCCUCUCUGACUGACUCCUUCCCAGAUCUUCUCGGCUUAGCAGCUGAAGACUGACACUGCCCAAUCGCCUUGGAAGCCCCCUAGACCAUCACGGAUGCCGAGCUUCGAGUAACUCUCACAGUGGAGGGAACGCGCAUGAAAAAACCAAACAAACAAAAAAAUUUCUUUUGGUAGCAGAAUAAAAAAACAAAAAAAAGGACUUUUUCUUCUGGACUGAACUAUAUUUAAAUCUCAAAGGAUGGACAUCUCACAACCUUCCUACAGCAAGUACUGUGAGCCAUGUAAAGGUGUGCUGCUUUCCCUUUGCCUUCCGCCAUUAUUGAAAGUUUCCUGAGGCCUCCCCAGCCAUGCUACCUGUACGACCUGUGAAACCAUAAGCCAAGAAAAGAUACUAGCGCCAGUCUGGCAGGGGCCUUUUCUAGUCUCAAGCACGCUGAGCAGUCCUACACCUUGCCUUCUGAGAGAGAAGAGGACAGUCCUCAGCCUCCUGAAGCCUGGCAAGGGUGCCUUAGUGAGGACAUCACCUGCAACUCCCAGAUGGAUAGACGAGGCCAUGGAGAGAGGAGAACACCAACCCAUGAGUGACAAGUGCCUGUCAUUGUCAAUGAUGCUGCAAGCACCACGAUGCCCCUUCUUAGCAGGGACCCAGUGGGCCUUACCAGCUUCAUUAUUUUCUAGGCAUGAUCGCAUCCUGUCUCCCAUUUUUGCUAAAAUUCUAUCUAGAGAAAGAGCUCAUUUUUAGCUAAAAAAAAAAAAAUCCUGUUUUAUCUGCUAAAAAAUCACAUAAAAUAACUAUUGGACUGUUUGAAAUGGCGUGGCCUCUGCUCUGACUUAUUAACUGUGAUCUUGACUAAGUUAAGCAGUCACUCUGACCUUACGUUACUCCCUCAAAUUUGAAUAAAAAUAGCAACUUCCUCUACUUAUAAAUUACUUCUAAAAAUUAGAUUCUUGAGAUUCAAAGAUAGGUAAUACCUGCCUUCAAGAAACUAACUCUCAAGGCUGCUGUAUGGAAAUCCUGCCUCCUAACUAGAUUGCACUCUUCUAAAUGCUGUACUACUGCUAUACACAUUCUCCAAAUCAAGUUAAUUUCAAAGUCUUGCUGAAUCUACUUUUUAGAAAUAUCUAAGUCAUGUGUACGUCUUUCCAUUCCUGCAUCCCAGGGGAUUGCAGCCAUCAGCUCACCUCCUCUCCUAAUCCAAAAUGUUCCUAACUGGUCUCCUGCCUUGCCUUUCUCCUGAUCACUUCCUACAACAGAGUGAUCGUGACUUGAAAUGCAAAUUAUAUUGUAUGAGUUAUCUCCCAAAAACAUUCAGCUGCCUAGCUCCCUUAACAUGAAGUCCAAAUUGCCCUAACAUGGAGUCCAAAUUUCGUUAGCAUGGUUUAAGAGUCUCUUCAUGAACAAAAGGCUUCUGUCUUCUCCAGUCAUACCCAAAUCUUUCCUAAUCAAAAGCCAUUUUUAUCAGUUUAAGAACAGAGACAGUUGUUCCAGAUAUAAGGAAGAGCAUUGGCAAAGUUGCAGAUAAUAAUUUAGGUGAGUGUGAUUCAGAGAUCUCAUUAGUGAUGCCUCAGAAUGACUAGGAGACAUGGAUAAAAGGAUAACAAGAAAGAAAAGGAGACCACAAAACCACAGUCCAGAUUGUAGGAGGCUUGGGUUGUGGUAAUGAGCUGGGACUUCUCUGCUGGCUAUCAGGAGUCCUCAUCUAUGAUCUGCUAGAAGAAUAUCAUGAUUAGAACUGCAUUUUAGAAAGUUAAGUCUAGUGGCUGCAGAGCAUACAUAUAGAAGGUAGAGCUUUGAGUCCACAAGAACAUUAUGGUUUAAUAAAACUCUGUGAGAGAGAUUAGAGCACAAACAAAGGCAGUCAUAAUGGAAAUGGAAAGAAAGUUAAAGGCUAAAGACUCCAGAGACAUUUUGAAAAAUGUGGGAAAUUAGGAGAGGAGCUGCAUCAAUCAGGACAUCAGUGUUACUGAUUUGCGAGACUAGGGAAUUAGGAUGUUCUUGAUGAAAGUGAGCAAAGGAAUUUUGCAGAGAUCAGAGUAGAACUUUUUUUUUUCCCUGAAAGCAUUCUGAAAACUGUAAACACCCUACUGCAUAAGAUAUCAUCAUCAUUAUUACUAAGCAGUCCUAUGUUAAUAGCCCUUUGGGUCUAGAGCUUGAAUUAUGCGCUAUACCUUGUACUUGAAAGAAACUAUAUCCUGACUAGUCCAGAUGGAUAUUACUUAACCUGCUUUAAGAUCCUCUAGGGAGGAACAACCACAACAAAUCCAAGAAAGGUCCCCUUCCUAGCAACUGUGCAUCCUUCCAGCUGCCUUAUCAAUGAUAUCAUCCCUUCGAUAUGUUACAGAGUCCAUUUGGACAAUUUUUAAAGGGACUCAUGACAUUCUGGUAAAAGAGAAUUAUGAUUUCUGGACUCUUUAAAAUUCAAAUGUAGGGGGAAAAAAAGCAAGUCUUCUGUUUGAUCAUAAAAGCUAUAAAGAUGCAAAGAGAGAAAGGUCCAUUCUAGCAUUUCAAUAAUAUCUGUUUUCACUGAAAACCUGAGCUGACUUUAAUCAUCUACACUUCAGACUGGGCUAAUACCUCAGAAAGCUGCAAAUACUGUGAACGCUGUCACACUAGCACAAAGCCUUUGCAAAAAUUUCCCCAAAAUACACAGAUUAAAAAGCACAUUUUCUCUCUCUCUGUUUUCCUCUCUCUCUCUCUCUCUCUCACACGCACACACACAUACACAUGCA